rnacentral:ncRNA from 1 species
GCAAAUGCAGUGAUAUGGAAGUAGUAAACACUUUUUAAGCCCCACAGAGAGCCGGGAAAAGAUGAGAACCGGUGACUGGAAAGUGCCGAACUGAUCCAUGAGCAGCUUUUCAGAAAGAGAUGAGAUCAUUACAGGAUCUUCAUUUUCAGUAAGAAAAGACGGAGGCCUUACCGUUAUAAGAGGAAUUGAGUGCAUGCGACUUCGCAUGAAUCAGAGUGGUACCGCGUGGAAAUGAUAUCUGCGUCUCUUGG